rnacentral:rRNA from 1 species
AUACGUAGGUGGCAAGCGUUGUCCGGAUUUAUUGGGCGCAAAGCGAGCGCAGGCGGUUUCUUAAGUCUGAUGUGAAAGCCCCCGGCUCAACCGGGGAGGGUCAUUGGAAACUGGGAGACUUGAGUGCAGAAGAGGAGAGUGGAAUUCCAUGUGUAGCGGUGAAAUGCGUAGAUAUAUGGAGGAACACCAGUGGCGAAGGCGACUCUCUGGUCUGUAACUGACGCUGAGGCUCGAAAGCGUGGGGAGCAAACAGGAUUAGAUACCCUGGUAGUCCACGCCGUAAACGAUGAGUGCUAAGUGUUGGAGGGUUUCCGCCCUUCAGUGCUGCAGCUAACGCAUUAAGCACUCCGCCUGGGGAGUACGACCGCAAGGUUGAAACUCAAAGGAAGUGACGGG